AAAAUAUUGGUGUCUCUUGUGAAUACUGCACGAUCUCUCUUUUUAUCUGAUUGCGUGUUGGAUCUUUGUACAAAAGCUAAGACGCCAGACUUUAUAUUUCUCUACCCCCGCAAAGACUCUAGGACGCAAGACUUCUACUCUUUUAUGCAUCAAAACACUGAGCUCUUUUAGAACACUAGGAGUUAAGAAUUCGAAUUGAUGGCCUUUUCUUUGUUGUUGAGAUGAACAGUCCAAGAAUUUUCCACAGCUCCAAAAUUGUGGGUGUCAAGUUUUGUAACGAGAUAAAAUACUUGGUUAUAGAUCAUUAGCACAUGGUGGGGAAGAUAUGAAGAAGAAUCUGUCAUCCCAUUUGACGUUGAAAUAGCUAUACAUUGCUAAGGCGCCGUGGCGGAGCUCCGCCUUUGCACGAUGCCUUUUUCACCCAUCACAAUCACUGUUUCUCUAUUCCAAUGGCUUCCUUCCAAGUUGCAAUCUGUUAUGCUGCUAAAAUUAUGGGAAGAUUGUUCGAUAAAGACUAUCGCGGGAACAUCACGACACGGGCGCCGUAGGUGAUAUGCAGCUCAAC